GAUGAACGCUGGCGGCGUGCCUAAUACAUGCAAGUCGAGCGAACGGACGAGAAGCUUGCUUCUCUGAUGUUAUCGGCGGACGGGUGAGUAACACGUGUAUAACCUACCUAUAAGACUGGGAUAACUUCGGGAAACCGUAGCUAAUACCGGAUAAUAUUUUGAACCGCAUGGUUCAAAAGUGAAAGACGGUCUUGCUGUCACUUAUAGAUGGAUCCGCGCUGCAUUAGCUAGUUGUUAAGGUAACGGCUUACCAAGGCAACGAUGCAUAGCCGACCUGAGAGGGUGAGCGGCCACACUGGAACUGAGACACGGUCCAGACUCCUACGGGAGGCAGCAGUAGGGAAUCUUACGCAAUGGGCGAAAGCAUGACGGAGCAACGCCGCGUGAGUGAUGAAGGUCUUCGGAUCGUAAAACUCUGUUAUUAGGGAAGAACAUAUGUGUAAGUAAAUGUGCACAUCUUGACGGUACCUAAUAAGAAAGCCACGGCUAACUACGUG
rnacentral:rRNA from 1 species